AUCGACAGUAGCAAGGCAACAAUUGUGCAUCGCUGAGUCUCCCCCCUCAUCCAAUCAUCUCUACUACAGACGAUGAAGCUAUGUGCAGCGAGGAGGUGCUGCGCGCAGUGAUGCCUCGCUGCUUCUUGAGAGCGGCAAGGCGACAGUUGUGCAUCACUGAGUCUCUCCCCUCAUAUAGUUAUCUCUACUGCAGACGAUGAAGCUAUGUGCAGCGAGGAGGUGUUGCACGCAGUGAUGCCUCGCUGCUCCUUGAUAGCAAUGGCGCAACUACGAGUAGCGUCGCCUGGUCGAGGCGCGGCGAGGCAGAGCUUUGCUGUUGCCCGAAUCUAUAGUGAGACCUCUGCGGCUGGUAGUGCUGUGUUGGUGGCUAGCAGUAUCGGAUCUAGUGGUGGUGGUGGUUGAUGGUGCAUCAAGCAAUGAGGUGCGGUGGUGGGUGUCGAAUUUAGGGUGGUGACUGGCGGUGUCGAAUCUGGGGUGAUGGUGAUGGUGUGUUCGUUGUGUGGUGAUGGUGGUGGAUCUGGUGAUGUGAUGCGAUGGUGGCACAGGUGGUUGAUGGCGGUGCGGUGCGAUGGUUGAGGUGGUUUUAGUUGUUAAGAGUGUGGUGAUGGCAGCUUCCAUGCUUCGAGGAUGAGGGUAGGGGUAGCGAUAGACGGUGGUCGUUACAAUGGGUGUGGUGGUGAUGGUAAGAUGUUGGUGGUUGUGUUUUUGUCGAGGUGGAUGUAUUGAUUUUUGUUGGAGGUAGUGGUUGUUUA
rnacentral:lncRNA from 1 species